rnacentral:rRNA from 1 species
GAUGAACGCUGGCGGCGUGCCUAACACAUGCAAGUCGAACGAAGCACCUUACCGGAUUCUUCGGAUGAAAGUUUGGUGACUGAGUGGCGGACGGGUGAGUAACGCGUGGGUAACCUGCCCUGUACAGGGGGAUAACAGCUGGAAACGGCUGCUAAUACCGCAUAAGCGCACGAGGAGACAUCUCCUUGUGUGAAAAACUCCGGUGGUACAGGAUGGGCCCGCGUCUGAUUAGCUGGUUGGCAGGGUAACGGCCUACCAAGGCAACGAUCAGUAGCCGGUCUGAGAGGAUGAACGGCCACAUUGGAACUGAGACACGGUCCAAACUCCUACGGGAGGCAGCAGUGGGGAAUAUUGCACAAUGGGGGAAACCCUGAUGCAGCAACGCCGCGUGAGUGAAGAAGUAUUUCGGUAUGUAAAGCUCUAUCAGCAGGGAAGAUAAUGACGGUACCUGACUAAGAAGCUCCGGCUAAAUACGUGCCAGCAGCCGCGGUAAUACGUAUGGAGCAAGCGUUAUCCGGAUUUACUGGGUGUAAAGGGUGCGUAGGUGGCAGUGCAAGUCAGAUGUGAAAGGCCGGGGCUCAACCCCGGAGCUGCAUUUGAAACUGCUCGGCUAGAGUACAGGAGAGGCAGGCGGAAUUCCUAGUGUAGCGGUGAAAUGCGUAGAUAUUAGGAGGAACACCAGUGGCGAAGGCGGCCUGCUGGAC